GGGGAGCCGAGGCCCGGCGUGGGGAGGCCGGCAGGAAGGGCCUCGAGCCCAGUGCGGACCUUUCUUCAGCCUCUGUGCGGCCGAGCCGCGCGCCAGGCUGCUGUGCGAGGAGGACGCGCUGACUUCCUCCGACAUGGGCUCUGAUAGAGCAGAAAUAGCGGGACCUGGACUUGUGGCGCGCCUGGUGCCUGGUGCCACAUCUCGGGCUCUGCGAGCCUCCUGGCGCGGGAUCCUGCCUAAUGUCUUACAAUAACAGAAUGCAGGAGAGCACAUAUCAAUGAAGAAAAGACAAAAUGUAUUUAUCCAUGAAGCUGAGGUUAAGAAACCAGUGUCUUCAAGAGCCGGGGACAGCACUGGGUCUGUGCAGAGUUGAGAGAUGGUGAUGACAUGUGGUUUCCAGCAUUUCUGGCCCAGUCUGGGAUUCUACUCCUUUGUAGUGGUUUCCAGCAUUCCUGGCCCAGUCCAGGGACACUGUGGGUGUGCCCAGCUUAAGUCCAGUAACUGGAAAUACAAGCCCAAGUUCUGGA
rnacentral:antisense_RNA from 1 species